GACGAACGCUGGCGGCGUGCUUAACACAUGCAAGUCGAACGGUAAGGCCCUUCGGGGUACACGAGUGGCGAACGGGUGAGUAACACGUGGGUGAUCUGCCCUGCACUUCGGGAUAAGCCUGGGAAACUGGGUCUAAUACCGGAUAGGACUCCGGACUGCAUGGUCUGGGGUGGAAAGCUUUUGCGGUGUGGGAUGGGCCCGCGGCCUAUCAGCUUGUUGGUGGGGUGAUGGCCUACCAAGGCGACGACGGGUAGCCGGCCUGAGGGGGUGACCGGCCACACUGGGACUGAGAUACGGCCCAGACUCCUAGGGGGGGCAGCAGUGGGGAAUAUUGCACAAUGGGCGCAAGCCUGAUGCAGCGACGCCGCGUGAGGGAUGACGGCCUUCGGGUUGUAAACCUCUUUCAGCACCGACGAAGCGCAAGUGACGGUAGGUGCAGAAGAAGGACCGGCCAACUACGUGCCAGCCGCCGCGGUAA
rnacentral:rRNA from 1 species